rnacentral:rRNA from 1 species
UACGUAGGGUGCGAGCGUUAAUCGGAAUUACUGGGCGUAAAGUGUGCGCAGGCGGCGCCGCAAGUCGAGUGUGAAAGCCCCGGGCUUAACUUGGGAACUGCCUUUGUGACUGCAUGGCUAGAGUACGGUAGAGGGGGAUGGAAUUCCGCGUGUAGCAGUGAAAUGCGUAGAUAUGCGGAGGAACACCGAUGGCGAAGGCAAUCCCCUGGACCUGUACUGACGCUCAUGCACGAAAGCGUGGGGAGCAAACAGG